rnacentral:rRNA from 1 species
CCGAAUGGGGUCGGUGACCGUCACUCUUGCAUGCCGUGAACAAAUUGAGAAACAAAUUCGCGGGACGACAAACACUGUUUCCUUCCCUUGGGGGCUCACGCUUCCGUUGCACAUGCGAUGCUGUUUGGGGGGACGUCCGCGAUUCUUACUGUGACUAAAAAAGCGUGACUAAAGCAGUCUUCGACAUGAAUUAGAAAGCAUGGGAUAACAAAGGAGCAGCCUACGGGUUACCGGUUCGGCUUUUGUUGGUUUUGAGAUCUGUGGGAGAUUAUGGGUCCGCACGACAAGCGGUUCGGGGGUGGCUCCUGUCAUUCCCCACGCCUCUGGCGGGUGCAAGCGCCACACUCGUUGUGGUGGCGGCUCCGUUGGCAUGCGGUUCCCAGGAAUGAAGGAGGGUUGUUCGGGGGAGAACGUCUUGAGCGUGAGAGGUGAAAUUCUUAGACCGCUCAAAGACGAACUACAGCGAAGGCAUUCUCCAGGAUACCUUCAUCAAUCAAGAACCAAAGUG